GUGAAGCUAUUUUAAACUGUGUGCGCUUGUACCAAGAGGUUCCAAGUUCUUUAUCUUAACGUCCAGUAACCUUGUACUCCGCGCUUGCAUAACACGACUUGAUUGCGUUUAAAUCGCCGAAAACUCUCUGAAAGAGCACAGAUGCCAGAUUUUUAAAACUGUGGAUAUAAAACCUUCUUCCUGUCUUUACACUGCUAUCGUGUCUAUCAGACAACGGCCGGUCUUGGGACCCCGGAGUUGCUUGACGAGAAUGUGUCAGGCUCAAACUCUCCAAAGAAGGAAUGCAGCUUUUACAACCCCGUGACAUCUUGUUCUUAUAAAUCUGCAUAAAGAAGGAUGUUGGAAAGAAACAACAGAUGUUGGUGAACAUCUGGGACAACAGGUAACUUCGUUGUCUGCAGAAGCUGGGAUUGGCUCACCGGCAGUUGAACUGACAGCGGGAGAGCACCGAAGGCAAGUGUUUUGACAGAUGUCUUGCUGUAGUGGCGCAGGGUUGUUUUUUUUUCUGUGCCCUUUCAGAGUCCACAGUUUCAGACCAUCAGAUCAUGUCCUCCUCCUAAAAAGGAAAAAAAAAGUCUGUAACCUUCAGUGCACGAAUGCAAUAUUUAGACAAGAUUCUUUCACAGCUGCUGCAGGCCUGGAGAAAGAAGACAAACCCUGUUUUAGACUCUCUGCACAUAUCCUGCAUCGAAAGUAACAAAGAUCACUAGGUCAUAUCCUGGAACUGGCUGUCUGGCAUGUCCCUGAGUGAUCUCUCCGCCCAUGGUGGGCAAGCAGACAAC